UUGGAGGGCAAGUCUGGUGCCAGCAGCCGCGGUAAUUCCAGCUCCAAUAGCGUAUAUUAAAGUUGUUGCAGUUAAAAAGCUCGUAGUUGAAUUUCGGGGUUUAUACGUUGGUCGGGCUUUUGGGUCUGCACUGGCGUAAUGAAUUCCUACCUUCUGAAUAACCAGCAUGUCAUUAAUUUGAUGCGCCGGGGAAGCAGGACUGUUACCUUGAAAAAAUUAGAGUGCUUAAAGCAGGCUAUUGCCUGAAUACAUUAGCAUGGUAUAAUGAAAUAGGACGGCAUGGUUCUAUUUUGUUGGUUUCUAGGAUCACCGUAAUGAUUAAUAGGGAUAGUUGGGGGCAUUAGUAUUCAAUUGUCAGAGGUGAAAUUCUUGGAUUUAUUGAAGACUAACUUCUGCGAAAGCAUUUGCCAAGGAUGUUUUCAUUAAUCAAGAACGAAAGUUAGGGGAUCGAAGACGAUCAGAUACCGUCGUAGUCUUAACCAUAAACUAUGCCGACUAGGGAUCGGACGAUGUUAAUUUUUUAAUGACUCGUUCGGCGCCUUACGGGAAAC
rnacentral:rRNA from 1 species